CGCCUGUUUAUCAAAAACAUCUCUUCUCGUUAGUUUUUGAAGUAUGGCCUGCCCACUGACCUUGAAUGUUGAAGGGCCGCGGUAUUUUGACCGUGCAAAGGUAGCAUAGUCAUUAGUUCUUUAAUUGUGAUCUGGUAUGAAUGGCUUGACGAGGCAUGAGCUGUCUUAAUUUUGAAUUGUUUAUUAAAUUUGGUCUAUGAGUUAAAAUUCUUAGAUGUUUUUAUGGGACGAGAAGACCCUAUAGAGUUUUACAUUUAUUAUGGUCUCUUUCUGUUUGUGAGGGUUCACUAGGGCUGUCUAAUAUGUUUUGUUGGGGUGAUGGGAGGGAUAUUGUUUAACCCCUCCUUUAUGUUGUUAUAUUUAUUUAUAUUUGCUUGAUCCAUUUAUUUUGAUUGUAAGAUUAAAUUACCUUAGGGAUAACAGCGUAA
rnacentral:rRNA from 1 species